rnacentral:rRNA from 1 species
AUUGAACGCUGGCGGCAGGCCUAACACAUGCAAGUCGAGCGGCAGCGGGACCUUCGGGUCGCCGGCGAGCGGCGGACGGGUGAGUAAUGCCUAGGAAUCUGCCUGUUAGUGGGGGAUAACGCGGGGAAACUCGCGCUAAUACCGCAUACGUCCUACGGGAGAAAGUGGGGGACCCUCGGGCCUCACGCUAACAGAUGAGCCUAGGUCGGAUUAGCUAGUUGGCGGGGUAAAGGCCCAACAAGGCGACGAUCCGUAACUGGUCUGAGAGGAUGUUCAGUCAAACUGGAACUGAGACACGGUCCAAACACAUACGGGAGGCAGCAGUGGGGAAUAUUGGACGAUGGGCGAAAGCCUGAUCCAGCCAUGCCGCGUGUGUGAAGAAGGUAUUCGGAUUGUAAAGCACUUUAAGUUGGGAGGAAGGGCGCUCGGUGAAUACCCAGGCGUCUUGACGUUACCGACAGAAUAAGCACCGGCUAACUUCGUGCCAGCCGCCGCAGUAACAC